rnacentral:snRNA from 14 species
UAAAAGGGCGCUCGUCCUGGCACGUUCCCGAUCACGGAACUCAAGUGCAGACGCAUUGCGCCGCAGGAGCGUCUCCUUCGCUCCGCUCCUGGAUUUCCAGUGGUGGGCGGGGGCGAGCGUUCCAUUGCCGCCUUCGACGCCUCCUUGCGCGCCCAGUGGGGUAUGGCUUUGCAUAUCCAGUGCGUAAUUUUUUGCUUCUGGGGCCGCGGCUGCACAUUGCGGAUUGCUCGGGGAUUCCCCGAAUCUCCUUGCGUGCCCGUGCGCUGCGCCCCG